rnacentral:snoRNA from 1 species
GUGUGCCCUUAAGGUGGACUUGGUGCUUUCAGGGGCUAGCAGGAGGAUAAAGUAAGUUUCCAUAAAACCCAAAGAGGAGACUGGGACAAACUUCUGGAUCUCUGUCUGGAUUCAUAGCC